rnacentral:lncRNA from 10 species
GUGAAAACAGGAAGCUUCCAAGUGCCCCAGUGGACUCCCAGGGCUCCCAGAUCCCCCAGUGCAAUGCCCACCAGAGAAAACAGCAGGUAUCCAAAAUCAACAAGUACUUAUGCGGCACCUGUUGUGUGUCAAGCAUGGCAAGAGUCCCUGGGACAGCUACAAAAGCUCCAUGACACUCAACACCACUGAGCCUCAGCCCAGCCUGGACCAAACAUCACUAAGUGAUCACAGAGGUUCUUCCUCAAGGGCCUGGUGACCUCAGGGGUCUUUGCUACAGUGCCCAGGCAGCACAACCCAUUUGCAAUUCCUCUAACGGGGAGGCUUGGAAAGGGUCUCCCCAGAGUGGACAAGUGGAGAGGCAGCACCUGGAACUGGGAGGCCGCCGAAGGAAAGGUGGCCUGGAUGGGCUGCAGGAGAGCCAAGGCCAAGUCUCGCAUCUGCCACCAGCUUUUGUGGGGCUUGGGACAGGGCAUGGCCCUCUCUGGGCCUCACUGUCCCCAUCUGCGAAUGAGGUGAUUGGACCAGUGUCCCCACGGCCCCUCCCAGGCCUCAAGUCUUGGCACAUGGGUCACCAGAGAGCUCUCAGAAGGUGGGGCCAGGCACUGCCAGGAGCAGCCCGAGAAGCCACCAAGGCCUGGACUGGGCCAGGCUGGGCAGACUGCAGUGCCUCCACCUGCCAUGGCGG